rnacentral:rRNA from 1 species
UACGGUGGGUGCAAGCGUUAUCCGGAAUCACUGGGUUUAAAGGGUGCGUAGGCGGCUAGGUAAGUCAGAGGUGAAAGUUUGUCGCUUAACGAUAGAACUGCCUUUGAUACUGUUAAGCUUGAAAGUAGGUGAGGUUGGCGGAAUGUGACAUGUAGCGGUGAAAUGCGUAGAUAUGUCAUAGAACACCGAUUGCGAAGCUAGCCGGCUAACCUGACUUUGACGCUGAGGCACGGAAGCGUGGGUAGCGAACAGG